GUGCCGUUAGCUCAGUUGGUCAGAGCACCCGGCUCAUAACCGGACGGGCGUGGGUUCGAGUCCCACACGGCGCA
rnacentral:tRNA from 1 species